rnacentral:rRNA from 1 species
UACGUAGGUGGCAAGCGUUGUCCGGAAUGACUGGGCGUAAAGGGUGCGUAGGCGGCGAUGCAAGUUAGUGGUGAAAUUCCGGGGCUUAACUCCGGCGCUACCACUAAGACUGUAUUGCUUGAGUGCGAGAGAGGUAAGCGGAAUUCCUAGUGUAGCGGUGGAAUGCGUAGAUAUUAGGAAGAACACCGGUGGCGAAAGCGGCUUGCUGGCUCGUAACUGACGCUGAGGCACGAAAGCGUGGGGAGCAAAC